UUAUUAGCUGUGCUUUAAUGUUUGUUUUAUUUAGGACUUAAUCAGAGGUCUUAAUACACAGCAACAAUUAUUCCAAAAAUAAAACAAAACAAAAAAAAAGUAAAGAAAAAAAAUCUGUUUUUCACCAAUUCUGGAGGCUGAGUGAUGGCACACGAUAAAACAAAACUGGUAGUAAAAGACCAGGCGAGUUGACAAAUUGGCUUAAGAUGUCUUGGUCUCCUACUUGUUCCACACAUUUGAUUUGUAGGGUAACAUCAUGCCAGUCUUGUAAAGGGCAGAACACUUUAGCAAGAGAACGCAGUUCUUAUACACAUCUGAUGCAUUCCAGGCUUGGGGUGAAAUGGAACUAAAUGUCUUUCCAGAGACAAGCAGAAUUCUCUGAGAUGUCAAGGGUGGCUUCACAAUAUGUAAAAAUGACCAAGCACUCUUGUCCACUAUCUUUGUGCCCGUAUUAUUGCAAUGUAUUCCUUGUGUAAGAGACCAAGUGUCCAGUACCAUAAACAUUGGAGUAACCACCCAAGUCCAGCAAAGAAACCAACAUCAUUAGGCAUAGAGGCAUUGUCAUAGAGGUCGGCCAGCAUUGUUACAAGUGGUUACCUAAAUGUUAUCAUCUAUAUCAUUAGUUAUAAAGCGCCAACAAAUUCUGCAGUGCUCUCUCUCUCUUUAUUAUAUAAAUAUAUAAAUAAAAGAGCUGCUAUAGUGUAGAUCUUGCAAAUAAAAAUAAAAAAAUCUAAAUCUCUCUUGCACAUUGCAAAGAAAAUUUCAGAUUCCCUGUACAUAUUUUGUUUUUGCUUCUUUCAAAUGCCAGUUUCAUUUUUUUUUUAAAUGUUCUACCAACCAGCCUGGUUGGUUUGCUCAGUGGAGCUAAACGUUAGAGGCACCGUCCAUGCAAAGACUUCUCAUUGAGCUGCAUUGGGAAGUAUGUGAUUGGACAGCCAUAGAAAGUCUGGGUGGGGUUAGAAGAAGCGGGCUUGCAAUGGGUUCAGGCAAGAGAUCUUUUUUUUUUUAUAUAUAAUUAAAUGUGCACAUAUUUUAAUUGGGGGUAUAUCUACUAAACAGUGAUUUUGGGGGGUGACGGGACAGUGGAGUGACCCUAAAUGUCUUCUUUAAUUAGAGGCCUUUUUACAAUUCAAUAUUUUGGCAUAAACUUUGCAAUUCAUUGUUCAGUUCACCACAAUUACUGUUUAGAGGAUAAACUCUGUUUAUGAGUAAUGCCAUGGUAAUUAAUUGACAACACACAAGUGUGGCAACUGCAUUUUACAGAAAGAGGAAAGUUUAGAGCAUUUUAUUAACUAAUAUGAUAACUGAAAUGUGAUAUUUAUUUAAAGGGAAAAUAUAUAAACUGGCAGCAUAAGAUGUUCCCUCUUAAUAAAGCUGAGCCAGCGAUUUUCUUAUGUCCUUAUUCUAAAAUAAGAUGAGAACCUGGUGAAAAAUGCAAACGCACAUGAAAGCUGCUUUUAAUAUUGGCAUUUUGGCUGACAACUUGCUUUCCCAAUGAAGUGAUCUACCUCGCUAUCUAACCUUUGGCAUUGCUGCAAAUGUCAAAGGCAUUCAUUUAAUAUGUAACCCUUUAAAUGGCAAACAUUACAGCAGGCUUUAUAAGCUAGGUUGGAUUUCUAAAGAGUUUGUUACGAUUUGAAUUUGCGGAUAUGGUCUUACAACAACCCUUAUCUUAGCUAUGGAUGCAGUCCCUCUGUGUCAAUUCCAUGUACUGGAAAGGUAGCAGUGGUUUGACACAGCCAAAUCCUGCUAAACCCAUGUGCUAAGAGCUGCAAUGCUCGGUCUUAGUGCAGUAUAUAUUCCACUUUAUGAAAUCCAAAGCAAAGAGGAUUGGCAAGAAAAGAACUGCACCUACAACCACUCUGUAGUGGCAGUGCAUAGAGAAUUCCUUUAAUGAUGGUGGACAGUCUAUGCUACCAGACGGCUUAAGAAUCACAUUUUAAAAUGUGAACCCCCAUUUAACUUACAGCAAGGCUGCAUAGAGAUGACAAACGAUAAGUAAGGACAUUCCUUGCUUGGAUUAGAUGGGGGAAGAGAGUAGGGACAAUGGUUGAUGAUGGUAGAGGGUACAAUUUGGUCCUUAAUGGUUUCCGUGUGUGAAUACUUGAAACUGUUCAAGUUUACACCUUUAUUUAUUGCUUCAUGACAUUAGGAGCUGUUAGUAAGUUUGUGAAUUCAUUAAAUAUAACAAAAAAGCAGCCACGUCUACAAAUCCAAGCUAACACCACAUGUUUAGAAUUGGACUUUUAUAGAUUGUAUUUGAAAAUAUAAGAUGCUUAUGGAAAAACAAAUUCACAGGGCAGAAGAAAAUGUCUUUGUAUAAUUGCUGUAUAUCAAUUUCACAUUACAUGGUACUACCAGUUUUAGCCGUAUUUUAGUUAAAUGCUGUAAAAAUAAUGAUGCCUAGAUAAUGUAAUUUCUCAUUCAUAGCAUCCAUCCUAGGUAAUUAAAGAAAAACUCAUUAAAGGGGCACUCCAAGCACCAAAAUGAAUGUGCUGUUAAGGUUAUGGUGCUUGGAGUGUCCCUUUAUAUGCAGACUGAUUAAAGGAAGCAUUUGCGAUGUAUCUCUACCUAGGUUUACAUAGUGUACUGGAGCUAGAUUAAGGUAGAAAAUAAAGUGAAAAGUUCAAUUACAUCCAGAAGCAGAACUUCUGCUGCUAAGCAACAGCAUUUAAUUCUUUAGAAGGUUUAUGAAAUGAGAAAAAUCUACAUGUAGACCAUCAGUAAUGUCUGUAGAACGGACAUAAGAUAUAUAUCAAGACCUGAUAAGUAAAAUCCCAUUCAUUUUAGAGCAGCAACAACCUGUAUAACUGGAAUAAAAUAAUAAAAAAAGAAUGCAGAUUAAUUUAAAUUCUCAGCAAUUCUCAUCAAGAUUAUGCAUGAUCAAAUUCUCGUUGAGAUUGAGCAUGUCCAACAUUUUGUACCUUAUUAGAUUUAAAUUUGAAGGAAAAAAGUUGCAGAAUGUACUAAAAAAAAAAAAUGAAAAAAUAAAUAAAUAAAUAAAAAAUGAUACUAAAUGCACUAUUCCAUAGACGCAGCACAGUUGGAAAUGGUACUUUGGGAAAUGGUUGAUCACUGUAGUGAAAGUGCUAUAAGCUGUUCUCUAAAUCCGAAUCCGUUAUGAAAACGUCCCAUUAUUUAUUUAUUUUUCUGAUGCACCAUGUGCAACGCAUUAAAGCUAUGUAAACAGAUCUUAGUGCUGUAAAGAUUUUACAUGUAAAACAUCAGUCUAUGCUUGGUAAAUUGAUGGAAAGUUGAGAAUGCUGUGAAUGUAAUCUUAUAAGGGGUCAAACACCAAGGUUUAUUUACAUAUUAAGUACUAAAAUAGACUGCAGAGCGCAAAAUGACUAAUGCAUACAUCCAACGUGUCCCAAUGUUGGGCCCAAGUCCCUCUAUUCUUUCACAAAGUUGUUCUUUUUUUAGGAGCUCCAUAUUGCUGCGUUUCCUGUGUGUUUAACAGAGCUCCACAGCAAUAAUACUCACAUUAAUGGGAUACCCCAGGCACCAAUUAAGUUAAUUAGUUGAGCAUGCAGAAAAAGACAGCAUAUUAAUGAGGCCAAAAGCUAUCAAAUGUAAUAAAGUAGUAUUGGUCUCCAAAGUGUGUCUUUAAUGUACAUUUAAACUACAACGACCGAGUAUGAAAUCAGUCUGUGUAAAUAAGCUACAGUGUUCUAGUUCGAAAUUCAAUUUUUGGUGUAUAAAUUGUUAUUCGUAAGUCACCUAAACAUUUUUUGGAAUGGUUUGCUCAUGGACACACCCUUGACAUUAAAGUGUUCUUUUUGUCUAUUUGAAAUGUUGUGAGGUGCGCCAAUGGAGUAAAAAGUACCUAAAUUACCAUUUGGAUUGUAAGAAAAAAGGAAAAGCUUCCAAAAUACGUUUCAGCCCAACUCUAUUCGGAGUCAUCUUUGGCUCCAACAGUGCUCAUGCCAACUUUACUGUCUAACACAGAUCUCCAUCUGGUCUCCUUCAAAAAAGGCCACAAAAGAAGAUUGAAAAGGGAGUAGUAGUCUGAUAGUAGAUUGAGGUGUAAAAGUUUUUUGUGUUUUUUUUUAGGAAUACAUCCACCAUCUGCCAAAGUCCUGCAGAAUAUAAUACAUGGCAAAUUUACUCUACGUAUCACUUUCAAUGUAUUAUAGAGUAAACCCUAGAAAAGUCUAAAUAAAAUGAAAACACCCUCCAUUUACAACCAACUCACAUGAUCUGCAGGGACCAGAAAAUGGCUGACAAAUCUCAGACAUCCCUGGUCUUGCUUUGAUUUACAUAAACCAAGUCAGUUUAACUUACAAGUUGCUAGUGAUGUACAGAUCCAUACCCUUAUUUUGCGUGCUAUUACAUGCAUUCUUGUACCUCAAGAUAUUUUUGUGCAACUAGUGGUGUAUGUUCUGAUCUCAUAGCAGCUAAUGGACUUUAAAUAUUAACGUGCAAAUAGCACACAACAAAUUAGUUAUCUAUGAUAUUAAAACAUAAACAGAAAUUUUUAUUUCAGUUUGUGUGUCAUUCUAUGUAUUUAUAUAGCUAGAUACAUUUUGUAAUAUACAUUUAUAUAUGCAAAAUGUAUUUGUAUAAAUGAAUAUGAGUUUCCUCAGUAAAUCCUAGAUAGAUCUGUGUUUGGACUGCUUUAAUUGUAUUUUCUUAGCCUUCAUCUUAAAUGUAUUCGCAUGAGUCAAUGGACUGAGUUGUGUAUUUUGUCAUAUAUACAUUUUCACAAUGGACAAUAUCCUAGCAAUAUACAUACAGACUGUAAGCUCGUUUGAGCAGGGCCCUCUUCAACCUAUUGUUCCUGUAAGUUUUUGUAAUUGACUCAUUUAUUUUUAAAUCUCCCACUUUGAUAAUAUUUUAAAGCGCUACGGAAUAUGCUGCCGCUAUAUAAAUACCAGUAAUCCUAAUAAAGAUUAUGAUAAAACCACCACGUAGAAAAUACACAAUGUCAUAAUAUCCAAAUUGAAAUAUAUGACAAAGAUCUGGAUCCUAGGAUCGAGAGUCCGCAGAAAGAGAACGGAAAAUGUCUACUAUAUUCACUACAGCUAUAACCAACAUAUACUUAGUUCUCAAUCUCGUGUGACAAUACCCCAAGAAAAGAGAAUUGUCAGUUUAAGGCAAUUUGUGCUUACCGACAUCUGAUUGAUUGUACUAACCACAGUGACAGGCAUGUGGUCUUCAAUGAAGACUAGAACGUUGUAGGUCUUCACACAUGCACUCAUCAUUUGAGUACCACUUGCUUCCGGUCACUUGUAUCGUAUUAUCCCAGUGGAAGUAACACGGAUAACAGUUAAUUAUUAAGGGGAGAGUUUACAAGUAAUUGUCACCAGAUAUGAGAAAUGUAUAACUGAAAUUAGAUUGAAAGAAAAAAAUGUCGCUAAGCUUAUUCUCAAAAAUUCACAGUGAAUUUUGAAUUUUAAGAUCGUAGCCAAAUUGGAAACAUAUGCGAAGAUGGCUAUUUAUUUAGGUUGGCUUUGUUGGCCUACAAUUUGAAAAUAUCUUUGAAACCCCAACAGUUCACAAUUUAUCAAAUAACCGUGAAUGAUGCUUUAAGGAAAACAUGAUUAUUAUGUACACGGUUUUAAGAAACAUGUAAAGCAAGUAUUGGCAAUAAGAUUUGCUGCAGUAUUUCCACUUAAUGGACAUUAAUCAAGGAUUAUUACAUCAACCAUACUGAGUCAAAUAGAUCCCUCUUAUUUACAUUAUUGGAUCAUGUUGCUGCCCUAAACUUUACUUAAAUGCCCCUCUCCUGAACCAGGAGUAUUUCAUAAAAAUAGAAUCUUUAUGAAAUAUUCAUCUUGACGGUGUUGAAAUUUCACUGAAAUUCUAACCUAGUCAAGAAAUAUACAUAUUAGGGACUACUUUGUAUAUGUAUAAUUCCAUCACCAGACUUUCUUAGACGUAGAGCUACAGUCAGUCCCGCCGGUGGUCACCAGAGCAGACCGAGGAAGGUGGCGGCAGCCGCGAAGGACAGGUUCAGGUGAAUCUCUUAGUCCCUCUUUUAGAUUUUCUUCUUUAAAACGCUAAUGUUGCUGUUUUGCAUGUGAUAUAAAAAAACAACUGUUAUUAUUGUCAUUUUACGAUAAAGUGAACAAAACAAUUACUUAAUCGAAAGGCACAGAAGCUUAUGUAUAUAUUCUAGAAAUAUAAUGAAUUACCCGUUUUUUUAUUCCCAAACUUAUAAGCCUAAAAUCCUAGGAAGUGAGAUUGAGGAAUGGGUUGUGCUUCAUAACAUAAGUGUAUGAUCGCUCAAAAAACAAACCCAAAGGGGAUCAAAAUUAGAGAUCAAACUUAUGGUGCAAGGUUAUCUACUAUCUAUAAAAAUGUAUUUCCAAUCUUCCAAAAUGUCUUGAGAACACAAUGUAUUGUUGGGGGUUUAACUACAAAGCACACUGUGUUCAAAUAUAUAAUCAAAUACUAUUGCUAAUAAAAUGGAAAGUAAACACAGAUCCUGGAUCGCACACAAAAAGCAAAAGGAGACCAAUCCACUUUUUACACAGUUCCUGUAAUGAGAAACACCUGUGUGUGCGCAGAGUCCUUAAAAGACGUUAGGAAGACUCUGCAAGCCUAAAAAAAGAUUUUUUUGUUUUGUUUUUAAAUCAGAUUUCUUUUGUAGUUCGUGUGACAGAUAUAGGCGUUAUAAACCCCUGAUAUGAAGAUACGACAGCAUUUGCCCCUAGAACUACUAGUGACUACUUUGUUUUUUUUGGUUUUCAUAUUGAUUUGGUAAUCGAACCCUUUACUAUGAAUGUGUUUAUAUCCGAUCCUAGUGGUGUAUCUUUAAGAGACAGAUUUUAUCUUUUACUUUGGUUUUCAUUUCAUUGCUAUGAACAUAGUCUCUUUCUGAUCUCAGAAAACCUCUUCAACUAGAGAUCUUAUGUACUGGUAAUAUAAGAAGGUGUUAAGUCGGUCAGCAAAGUUACACCCUGCUACAGUCAGUUCAUAAUUCCACUAUUAGCAGGGAUGUGGGAUUUACAGUGUGGAAUAUAAUUUUAAUCGUUAUUUUUUUUUUUAUGAAUAAUGAAGUUAUUAGCUUCUCCUUUUUCUGAUCUGUCUAUAUAUUGGAUCAGGUUUUCUUCAGUUGUAUCUUAAUAUCUGUCAAUUCAUUAGAUUAUUUCCCUAUUUGAGGGAGAAUUUUCAACACCCAUCAUUGAGAUGAGACUCUAAAUUUAACUUUUUUUUUUUUACAAAGCAAGAAAUCUCAUACAUUAAAGGGACACUAAAAGCACCCAGACCACUUCCUGUGAAUGACGUAGUCUGGAUGCAGUACCUGUCUGUUUAAGCCUUAACAAGGUGCUUCUUCUGCUAAAACAGAGUUGAAACUCAGUUAUGGAUCAAUUGCUAGUCAUAGAGCAGCAUUUGAUUAGCUCAGUGGCUCAUUUUGACACACGUGCCCUAGCCUCCCAGUACUUCCCUAUGGGGAAGUAUUUGAUUGAGUGAGAUCAUCAACACUAAUUGAUCUCAACCAUCUGAAAGGUAUUUCUUUUUCAAACCCUCAUACAGGGGGACACCAGAAUGCAUUGCAGGACAUUAUAGCUUUAGGAAUACAAGAUUGUAUUUAUAAUGCUACAGUGUUUCUUUAAAUAAAAA
rnacentral:lncRNA from 1 species